CAUGCGGCGCAUUAGCUAGUCGGCGGGGUAACGGCCCACCGAGGCGACGAUGCGUAGGGGUUCUGAGAGGAAGGUCCCCCACACUGGUACUGAGACACGGACCAGACUCCUACGGGAGGCAGCAGUGAGGAAUAUUGGUCAAUGGGCGGGAGCCUGAACCAGCCAAGUCGCGUGAGGGAAGACGGUCCUAUGGAUUGUAAACCUCUUUUGCCGGGGAGCAACGGGGUCCUUGCGAGGGCCUAAUGAGAGUACCCGGAGAAAAAGCAUCGGCUAACUCCGUGCCAGCAGCCGCGGUAAUACGGAGGAUGCGAGCGUUAUCCGGAUUUAUUGGGUUUAAAGGGUGCGUAGGCGGGCUGUUAAGUCAGCGGUCAAAUGUCGGGGCUCAACCCCGGCCUGCCGUUGAAACUGGUGGCCUCGAGUGGGCGAGAAGUAUGCGGAAUGCGUGGUGUAGCGGUGAAAUGCAUAGAUAUCACGCAGAACUCCGAUUGCGAAGGCAGCAUACCGGCGCCCGACUGACGCUGAGGCACGAAAGCGUGGGUAUCGAACAGGAUUAGAUACCCUGGUAGUCCACGCAGUAAACGAUGAAUGCUAGCUGUCCGGGGCUUC
rnacentral:rRNA from 1 species